AUUGAACGCUGGCGGCAUGCCUUACACAUGCAAGUCGAAGGCAGCAUGGAGGAGCUUGCUCCUCUGAUGGCGAGUGGCGAACGGGUGAGUAAAGCAUCGGAACGUACCGUGUAGUGGGGAUAACGUAGCGAAAGUUACGCUAAUACCGCAUACGCACUGAGGUGGAAAGCAGGGGAUCGCAAGACCUUGCGCUAUACGAGCGGCCGAUGUCAGAUUAGCUAGUUGUAGGGUAAAGGCCUACCAAGCCGACGAUCUGUAGCUGGUCUGAGAGGACGACCAGCCACACUGGGACUGAGACACGGCCCAGACUCCUACGGGAGGCAGCAGUGGGGAAUUUUGGACAAUGGGCGCAAGCCUGAUCCAGCAAUGCCGCGUGCAGGAAGAAGGCCUUCGGGUUGUAAACUGCUUUUGUACGGAACGAAAAGGCUCUGGUUAAUACCUGGGGCUCAUGACGGUACCGUAAGAAUAAGCACCGGCUAACUACGUG
rnacentral:rRNA from 1 species